GGGUGGGCACUCUAGGAUGACUGCCGGUGACAAACCGGAGGAAGGUGGGGAUGACGUCAAAUCAUCAUGCCCCUUAUGACCUGGGCUACACACGUACUACAAUGGUCGGUACAACGGGAAGCGAAGCCGCGAGGUGGAGCCAAUCCUUAUAAGCCGAUCUCAGUUCGGAUUGCAGGCUGCAACUCGCCUGCAUGAAGUCGGAA
rnacentral:rRNA from 1 species